rnacentral:rRNA from 1 species
ACUCGAGUGGCGAACGGGUGAGUAACACGUGGGUGAUCUGCCCUGCACUUCGGGAUAAGCUUGGGAAACUGGGUCUAAUACCGGAUAGGAGCCAUCUUUAGUGUGGUGGUUGGAAAGUUUUUCGGUGUAGGAUGAGCUCGCGGCCUAUCAGCUUGUUGGUGGGGUAAUGGCCUACCAAGGCGGCGACGGGUAGCCGGCCUGAGAGAGUGUACGGCCACAUUGGGACUGAGAUACGGCCCAG